AGAUUGAACGCUGGCGGCAGGCCUAACACAUGCAAGUCGAGCGGCAGCACGGGUACUUGUACCUGGUGGCGAGCGGCGGACGGGUGAGUAAUGCCUAGGAAUCUGCCUGGUAGUGGGGGGAUAACGCUCGGAAACGGACGCUAAUACCGCAUACGUCCUACGGGAGAAAGCAGGGGACCUUCGGGCCUUGCGUUAUCAGAUGAGCCUAGGUCGGAUUAGCUAGUUGGUGAGGUAAUGGCUCACCAAGGCGACGAUCCGUAACUGGUCUGAGAGGAUGAUCAGUCACACUGGAACUGAGACACGGUCCAGACUCCUACGGGAGGCAGCAGUGGGGAAUAUUGGACAAUGGGACGAAAGCCUGAUCCAGCCAUGCCGCGUGUGUGAAGAAGGUCUUCGGAUUGUAAAGCACUUUAAGUGGAGGAAGGCAGUUACCUAAUACGUAUCUGUUUUGACGUUACGACAGAAUAAGCACCGGCUAACUCUGUGCCAGCACG
rnacentral:rRNA from 1 species